rnacentral:lncRNA from 1 species
UUGAUACCCUUGUGCUUCUAAAAUAAUCAACCAAUUAUAAAAAUUAGCUUAGGUGCAACUUUACCCCUUUUUUUGGGAAACUUAACUAUAAAUAAAGUAUACAAAUCUCUAAAUUAACUUCGUCCCCAUGAAAUUCGGCAUAAAUAGAAAUAGAAUUAUAGAAACCUUACUACCUUUUAUGAGAAAUCCAACUUAUAUAUUUGAGACCUCUCUCUCUAAGCACGCGCUUCCUCUCUCUGCACACUUUCCACCUUUAAAUUCUCCUUCACUAAGUUUACCUAAAAGAAUUUAGCGUUCUCCCAGUUUCUUUCGCAUUUUUCUCCGUGAAAAUUGGUGAAAAAGAGAAAGUGAUUUGAUUAUUUUAAUGUGCGACAGAUAUGGUUUCCAUCUCUG